rnacentral:tRNA from 1 species
AAGGGAGACCUAAUUCGGGUAUAAGACGAAAAAAGAGUAGUCGAAACCAAGAAUCAAUCCCAAAAGGUCGGAACGAGGUAUGUGGCUUUCAAACUAGGUUCUGGGUUCACACAAGACCUGAAUCAGGAACAAGGGCUAUUAGCUCAGGUGGUUAGAGCGCACCCCUGAUAAGGGUGAGGUCCCUGGUUCGAGUCCAGGAUGGCUCACCUGUACAGGUGGCAAAAAGAAAGAAAAGAAGCGAGGAAUCAGCACCUUAUCUUACUGACAUAGUAAGAGAGAAUGCUGGCUCUGAGUAAAGAGUCCAGAGGAACCUUGAAAACUGCAUAGAGCUAGGUGAAAAAGCCAAAAAAGAAGACCGCAA